UAAGACGAACCUUGCAAACGUUAUUCGGAAUCACUGGGCUUAAAGGGUGCGUAGGCAGUGCAGAAAGUCGGGUGUGAAAUCCCUCAGCUCAACUGAGGAAUUGCGCCCGAAACUGCUGUGCUAGAGGAAUACAGAGGUGAGCGGAACUCAGGGUGGAGCGGUGAAAUGCGUUGAUAUCCUGAGGAACACCGGUGGCGAAAGCGGCUCACUGGGUAUUUUCUGACGCUGAGGCACGAAAGCUAGGGGAGCAAACGGGAUUAGAUACCCCGGUAGUCCUAGCCGUAAACUCUGAGCACUUGGUUGGAGGGUCCUCCAUAGCCUUCUAGCCGUAGCGAAAGUGUUAAGUGCUCCGCCUGGGGAGUAUGGUCGCAAGGCUG
rnacentral:rRNA from 1 species